GUGCCAGCAGCCGCGGUACUACCGGCAGCUCAAGUGAUGUCCCAUAUUAUUGGGCCUAAAGCGUCCGUAGCUGGCCGACCAAGUCUACCGGGAAAUCCACCCGCCCAACGGGUGGGCGUCCGGUAGAAACUGGCCGGCUUGGAACCGGAAGGCUCAGAGAGUACGUCCGGGGUAGGAGUGAAAUCCCGUAAUCCCGGACGGACCACCGAUGGCGAAAGCACUUCGAGAAAACGGAUCCGACAGUGAGGGACGAAAGCCAGGGUCUCCAACCGGAUUAGAUACCCCAGUAUCC
rnacentral:rRNA from 1 species